rnacentral:rRNA from 1 species
AUUGAACGCUGGCGGCAAGCCUAACACAUGCAAGUCGAACGAGUGGCGGACGGGUGAGUAAUGUCUGGGAAACUGCCUGAUGGAGGGGGAAAACUACUGGAAAAGGUAGCUAAUACCGCAUACCAUCGGAUGUGCCCAGAUGGGAUUAGUUAGUAGGUGGGGGAAAGGCUCAGCAAGGCGACGAUCCCUAGCUGGUCUGAGAGGAUGACCAGCCACCCUGGAACUGAGACACGGUCCAGGUUCCGACGGGAGGCAGCAGUGGGGAAUAUUGCACAAUGGUCGAAAGCCUGAUACAGCCAUGCCGCGUGUAUGAAGAAGGCCUUCGGGUUGUAAAGUACUUGCGUCGGGGAAGCGUUACCCGCAGAAGAAGCACCGGCUAACUCCGUGCCAGCAGCCGCGGUAAUUC